UGUCUUCACAGACAAAUAAUCCAAAAUCAGCCUAAGAGUGUGGAGUAAACAGCAUCAAGCCUCUCUUUAAUAGGGAACUCAUCUAUAAAAACAAACACUUGUUAUACUUUUAUGAAUUAUCAAGUUGUACAACACACAGCAAUAAGGAUUUAGACAAACAAUCACAGAUUUUAUUAAUUUUAUUGUUGUGUCUAAUAUAUAUAGAAACAACUUGUGUUGUAAAAGAAAGGAUGACAGCAUAUCUCUUUAUCACGUGCCAGUAUAGGCCCUGACUGCACGUGAGAACAUUUGAAUUAUCUGGCACGAGGCCUCACACGUCAUACUUCAACUGACACAACGGUCUCGAUGGGUAAGAUUUCGUUACCAUAUACAGUAAAUAUUGGUUCAAGAGGGCAGUUUGAUAACUCAGUCGAGGUUUGUAAAUGGGGUUUCUGUUCCUGCAGUCUUUCAGGGGUGCUGGCGCGUAUGACGAUGCGGACAUGAACAGCAUACUACAGUAUACCGCCACCUACUGUACUGUAGUACAAUAACGUCUUUUAAACAUCUAAACAUGUCCUCCAAAAAGGUUUCCUGUGCUGUUUUGCUCCAUUUUACUGAACAAAAUAAGGCUGAGGUAGCACCAUCCUUGUGGUUAGAGUGAAAGAAUGUGGGUAUUGAGACCAAAAUAAACAAUGUGCCAUUCUGGACAAACAGCUGUGGACAAUAUGCAGUCAGAGUAGCCCAUUUUCUCACACAGACCUGAGGAUAAGAUUUCCAGUUUGAAAGUGAAGAAAAUGAAUCAUUAUUAACAGCAAAUAGGAGUAUUUCUCAGCUGAAAAGCCAGGUGAAACUAUAAGGUCACUAUGAUUCACUUUCAUAUUAUCAUUCUUUUCAGAUUUUUUUCCCUGUGUUUUUUUUGUUAGAUGAGGAGCAACCAGUAAGAAAAAGCAAAAAGAUGUUUUGAUGUUGCCUGAGGCACCUUAUUUUCCAUUUCAUGCACAAUCACAAAUGCAGCACAUCAAUCAAUUUCUUCCAACCAGCGAAUCAAGAAAUCUUGGAGUGGAGAAUCAUUCUGAAAGUAGACCAAAUCCAGGACAACAUCACAACAGUGGUCGGAAAAAUGCAGCAAGCCAAGCUGACUUUCAAAAGAUGAUUCGUUAUCUGUUUCUUCAGAGGGGAGGCAGUUUGGGAGAUGGGAAUUAGGAGGAUGCUACAGUUACACAGGGCAAAUUUCAGCAGCUCAGUUUCAAACUUGCAACUAACAUUGAGUUAAACUGGUCAGGGUGGAAGACCAGCUGACGUACCAGUUUUGCCAGGUUAAAGGACCAGCUUAAACCAGCUAAGACAGCCAACCAACUUAGCCAAGGUGGUAUAUGCUGGUGGGUCAGCUGGUCUUCCCGCCUGACCAGCUAAGACCAGCUACAAAGUGGCCAAAACCUCUGUAAAACAAUCCUGCUACACCAGCCUGACCAGCUGAAACCAUACUGGGAGUUAGAAGACCACGGAAAUAUUUGACAUCGGAGUCCAGCAGACAGCCAGAGACACGCACACACACGCAGCUGAAGCGCGUUUGACUGACGCGUACGGGAGAUCCGGCACGCGCACGGGAGCUCGCGCACGCUCACACAAACACGGAGCACAGGAUAAUUACAACUGUUUAAUUAAAAUAAAAGAACUUUGUGGUAUACAAUGUUUAGCGUGUCUGAUUUCAUUGGUUAGCAAGGAAAUAAACGACGUGCUGAGGACUUUAGGCGAACGUCCCCUAAAAGUCCCGAAAGUCCGCUGACCGUCCCGCGAACGUCCUCGCAAAAGUCCGGAGGACGUCCUCGCGGAAGUCCGCUCGACGUAACGGGAACCAUACACGAUGACGUUCGGGGGACGUUCGCCUAAAGUGCUUAGCAUGUUAUUUAGCUUACAAAAAAGGUCCCCAUGACGUCCCCUAAAAGUCAAUAAAGUCCCCAAAGCGUCAUUUUGAACGUCCGGAAGACGUUUUUGCGGACGUUCGCAGGACGUCAAAAGAACCCUACACGAUAACGUCCGGGGGACGUUCGCAGAUGCCAUUUAGGGG